GAUGAACGCUGGCGGCGUGCCUAAUACAUGCAAGUCGAGCGAACAGACGAGGAGCUUGCUCCUCUGACGUUAGCGGCGGACGGGUGAGUAACACGUGGAUAACCUACCUAUAAGACUGGGAUAACUUCGGGAAACCGGAGCUAAUACCGGAUAAUAUAUUGAACCGCAUGGUUCAAUAGUGAAAGACGGUUUUGCUGUCACUUAUAGAUGGAUCCGCGCCGCAUUAGCUAGUUGGUAAGGUAACGGCUUACCAAGGCAACGAUGCGUAGCCAACCUGAGAGGGUGAUCGGCCACACUGGAACUGAGACACGGUCCAGACUCCUACGGGAGGCAGCAGUAGGGAAUCUUCCGCAAUGGGCGAAAGCCUGACGGAGCAACGCCGCGUGAGUGAUGAAGGUCUUCGGAUCGUAAAACUCUGUUAUUAGGGAAGAACAAAUGUGUAAGUAACGAUGCACGUCUGGACGGUACCUAAUCAGAAAGCCACGGCUAACUACGU
rnacentral:rRNA from 1 species